GAAAUGCGAUAAGUAAUGUGAAUUGCAGAAUUCAGUGAAUCAUCGAAUCUUUGAACGCACCUUGCGCUCCUUGGUAUUCCUUGGAGCAUGCCUGUUUGAGUAUCGUGAAAUCUUCAAAGUAAAUCUUUUGUUAACUCAAUUGGUUUCUACUUUGGUAUUGGAGGUCUUUGCAGCUUCACACCUGCUCCUCUUUGUUCAUUAGCUGGAUCUCAGUGUUAUGCUUGGUUCCACUCGGCGUGAUAAGUUAUCUAUCGCUGAGGACACUGUAAAAGGUGGCCAAGGUAAAUGCAGAUGAACCGCUUCUAAUCGUCCAUUGACUUGGACAAUACUUUUAUGAUCUGAUCUCAAAUCAGGUAGGACUACCCGCUGAACUUAAGC
rnacentral:misc_RNA from 1 species